rnacentral:rRNA from 1 species
AACGAACGCUGGCGGCAUGCCUAACACAUGCAAGUCGAACGAGACCUUCGGGUCUAGUGGCGCACGGGUGCGUAACGCGUGGGAAUCUACCCUCAGGUUCGGAAUAACUCAGAGAAAUUUGAGCUAAUACCGGAUGAUGACGUAAGUCCAAAGAUUUAUCGCCUGAGGAUGAGCCCGCUUAGGAUUAGGUAGUUGGUGAGGUAAAGGCUCACCAAGCCGACGAUCCUUAGCUGGUCUGAGAGGAUGAUCAGCCACACUGGGACUGAGACACGGCCCAGACUCCUACGGGAGGCAGCAGUGGGGAAUAUUGGACAAUGGGCGAAAGCCUGAUCCAGCAAUGCCGCGUGAGUGAUGAAGGCCUUAGGGUUGUAAAGCUCUUUUACCCGGGAUGAUAAUGACAGUACCGGGAGAACAAGCUCCGGCUAACUCCGUG